GGAUAGCGCAAUGGAUAGCGCGUUGGACUUGUAUUCCAAAGGUUAUGGGAUCGAAUCCCACCUGAGAUU